rnacentral:rRNA from 1 species
UGCCUAUACUGCAAGUUGAGCGCUGAAGGUUGGUACUUGUACCGACUGGAUGAGCAGCGAACGGGUGAGUAACGCGUGGGGAAUCUGCCUUUGAGCGGGGGACAACAUUUGGAAACGAAUGCUAAUACCGCAUAAAAACUUUAAACACAAGUUUUAAGUUUGAAAGAUGCAAUUGCAUCACUCAAAGAUGAUCCCGCGUUGUAUUAGCUAGUUGGUGAGGUAAAGGCUCACCAAGGCGAUGAUACAUAGCCGACCUGAGAGGGUGAUCGGCCACAUUGGGACUGAGACACGGCCCAAACUCCUACGGGAGGCAGCAGUAGGGAAUCUUCGGCAAUGGACGAAAGUCUGACCGAGCAACGCCGCGUGAGUGAAGAAGGUUUUCGGAUCGUAAAACUCUGUUGGUAGAGAAGAACGUUGGUGAGAGUGGAAAGCUCAUCAAGUGACGGUAACUACCCAGAAAGGGACGGCUAACUACGUGCCAGCAGCCGCGGUAAUACGUAGGUCCCGAGCGUUGUCCGGAUUUAUUGGGCGUAAAGCGAGCGCAGGUGGUUUAUUAAGUCUGGUGUAAAAGGCAGUGGCUCAACCAUUGUAUGCAUUGGAAACUGGUAGACUUGAGUGCAGGAGAGGAGAGUGGAAUUCCAUGUGUAGCGGUGAAAUGCGUAGAUAUAUGGAGGAACACCGGUGGCGAAAGCGGCUCUCUGGCCUGUAACUGACACUGAGGCUCGAAAGCGUGGGGAGCAAACAGGAUUAGAUACCCUGGUAGUCCACGCCGUAAACGAUGAGUGCUAGAUGUAGGGAGCUAUAAGUUCUCUGUAUCGCAGCUAACGCAAUAAGCACUCCGCCUGGGGGAGUACGACCGCAAGGUUGAAACUCAAAGGAAUUGACGGGGGCCCGCACAAGCGGUGGAGCAUGUGGUUUAAUUCGAAGCAACGCGAAGAACCUUACCAGGUCUUGACAUACUCGUGCUAUUCCUAGAAAAUAGGAAGUUCCUUCGGGACACGGGAUACAGGUGGUUGCAUGGUUGUCGUCAGCUCGUGUCGUGAGAUGUUGGGGUUAAGUCCCGCAACGAGCGCAACCCCUAUUGUUAGUUGCCAUCAUUAAGUUGGGGACUCUAACGAGACUGCCGGUGAUAACCGGAGGAAAGGUGGGGGAGGAAGGCCAAAACAUCAUGGCCCCUUAUAACCUGGGGGUACAACCUGGCUCCAAUGGAUUGGGUCAACCAAUUC